rnacentral:lncRNA from 1 species
CCAGUGAUGUGAAAUCACAGGUGCCUCAUCAAGGAAGCUUCUCCUCCUUACCCUUGCCCCCAUUUUCUCACCUCACAAGUCAUCAGAUAAGACAAAACCCUGAUGCCUGAUAGAGUCAUUACUGCAAAUAUUAGGAAUGCAAAUAGCAACUUCUUCAGUAUCUGUCUAUCAUGCCUCUCUCCUCAGCCUUCAGAUAACAUCCAAGAGGCUGCCAGAGAAGCAAAUCUAAAAGACGCAAGUCCCUGCCCUUCCCAUCACCCACUGCCCUGGUGUGGAUCCCUUCCAACAAGAGACAACACAGGCCCACUGGCUCUCACCAUUUAUGGAAUUGCCUUGGCUACUCAAGGGACCAGAUGUUCCCUGGGGUUGUGA